GAAUGAACUAAGUCUUCUAAAAUAAUGUACUAUUUAGGGUAGGUGGUGGUAUGAGACGCUAUCUAUCCAUUGCACUAAGUAGGACCUUCCAAAAGGGAAGACUUGGUGUCAAACCUUCUAAAAGAAUGUACUACCUAGGGUAGGUGGUGGUAUAGGAAACUAUCUACUCAUUGCACUAAGUAGACAUUCCAAAAGGGAAGACUUUUGUGGCUUGUUGGG
rnacentral:misc_RNA from 1 species